CACGUAGGGGGCGAGCGUUGUCCGGAUUUAUUGGGCGUAAAGAGCGUGUAGGCGGCCAUACAGGUCAGCUGUGAAAACUCGAGGCUCAACCUCGAGACGUCGGUUGAAACCGUAUGGCUAGAGUCCGGAAGAGGAGAGUGGAAUUCCCGGUGUAGCGGUGAAAUGCGCAGAUAUCGGGAAGAACACCCGUGGCGAAGGCGGCUCUCUGGGACGGUACUGACGCUGAGACGCGAAAGCGUGGGGAGCGAACAGG
rnacentral:rRNA from 1 species